rnacentral:rRNA from 1 species
UACGUAGGGUGCAAGCGUUAAUCGGAAUUACUGGGCGUAAAGCGUGCGCAGGCGGUUUUGUAAGCCAGAUGUGAAAGCCCCGGGCUUAACCUGGGAAUGGCAUUUGGGACUGCAAGGCUGGAGUUUGGCAGAGGAGACUGGAAUUCCUGGUGUAGCAGUGAAAUGCGUAGAUAUCAGGAGGAAUACCGAUGGCGAAGGCAGGUCUCUGGGCUAUAACUGACGCUCAUGCACGAAAGCGUGGGGAGCAAACGAGGAUUACGAAACCCGGU